AUGAACGCACAUCUUGAUAUGGCUUUUACGGCAGAGGAGGUUCAGACGACGCUGUUUGAGAUAGCCCCAUCCAAGGCGCCCGGGGUGGAUGGCUUUACUUCGGGAUUUUUUCAGAGACACGGGUCCUUGUUGAAAGAUGAUAUAGUCCCGUCGGUGUUGGGUUUUUUGAAUGGGGGCCGGGUGAGAGUGAGGGAUUUUCUUCAUGAAAUAUGCGUGAACAGAGAGAAUAGCUCCAUCUUUUUUAGUCCAAACACACCAUAUCCAGUUAGAGUAAUGCUGAAAGGAGCCACGGGCAUUGCCGUCGAGGCCUUCAAUGAAAGAUACUUAGGCCUCCCAACAGUAAUUGGACGAAUUACAUCUGGUACUUUUGAUUUCAUCGGAGAGAGAGUGAGAUCAAAGAUGAAUGGAAUGGGAUUUCGUGAUCUGGAAUGUUUCAAUGUUGCAUUGUUGGGAAAGCAUGGUUGGGGGCUGAUUACAAGUCCGCAUUCUUUAUGCUCCAGGGUGCUCAAAGGUCGCUACUUCCCAACGACAGAAUUCAUGCAUGCUACUGUUCCACGCAAUGCUUCGACUACCUGGCAAGCGAUCGUUGUAGGGAGGGCAGCGUUAGAGGUUGGACUGCUAAAGAAGAUCGGGAAUGGCUCCUCUAUAAACAUCUGGGAAGAUAGAUGGCUGCCGGGGAUGAAUAACUUCAUACACCCGGAUGUUGAUGCAAUUCUAAACAUUCCACUCAGACAAGGGGGUGGUGAUGAUAUCUGGGCUUGGGCUCAUGAGAGUGUUCUCAUGCUCAAUGCUUCCGGACAGAAGCGAGAAGCUGGCUUCACCUCAAGCUGCUCGAGUUACACCCUAACCAGGAUGUUGCCUGGGUUCGGAUGGAGACCGCCUGAACAUGACUGGGUUAAGAUCAACACAGAUGCUAGCGUCUCAUUGACUAAAAAUAAGAGUGGAGUAGGAGGAUUAGCAAGAACUCCUUCAUUUAUUGCUGCCUGGAGCAAGCCUUGCCCCGAUGUUACGGAUCCACUAAUAGCAGAAGCUUUUGCUCUGCGACAUAGGGUGAUUCUUGCAAAGCUCCAGGGCCUCCUCUCCUACAAGCUGAAUCAAAUCCGGCUAUCGCAGCUACCGGCGGCAUGGUACGGCGUGGCCGACGGCGGUGAUGGAUACCGGCAAUAUGGUUCGGCGUGCGUGACAAUGGCACCGCUUGCCACCACCGCCAGCUUCUACAACUCCUGCGACGGCGACUCUCUGGCGCGCUGCGCUGCCUUCACAUGA
rnacentral:rRNA from 1 species